rnacentral:rRNA from 1 species
CAGGAUGAACGCUAGCUACAGGCUUAACACAUGCAAGUCGAGGGGCAGCAUUGGAGUAGCAAUACUCAGAUGGCGACCGGCGCACGGGUGAGUAACACGUAUCCAACCUGCCGCUUACUCGGGGAUAGCCUUUCGAAAGAAAGAUUAAUACCCGAUGGUAUAAAGAGUUCGCAUGUUCUCUUUAUUAAAGAAUUUCGGUAAGCGAUGGGGAUGCGUUCCAUUAGAUAGUUGGCGGGGUAACGGCCCACCAAGUCUACGAUGGAUAGGGGUUCUGAGAGGAAGGUCCCCCACAUUGGAACUGAGACACGGUCCAAACUCCUACGGGAGGCAGCAGUGAGGAAUAUUGGUCAAUGGACGAGAGUCUGAACCAGCCAAAAGUAGCGUGAAGGAUGACUGCCCUAUGGGUUGUAAACUUCUUUUAUAAGGGAAUAAAGUGAGGGACGUGUCCCUUUUUGUAUGUACCUUAUGAAUAAGGAUCGGCUAACCCCGUGCCAGCAGCAGC